rnacentral:lncRNA from 1 species
UUCUUCUAGGAAUCAAAAUGAGUAAAUAGUACCUAUAAAGGUUCUAAACAAACUCAAAAUCAGUCCCACGGUCCACUCGACCAAUUCCAGAAUUCUGGCAUGACGACAGCAAUUUACCUCGGAUCAACUGUUGUCGACUAUUUUUGGCCAAAUUCAACCAAUUUUGCAUCAAUCCUUGUGAGAAAACACACUUAGGUGCCUCGAUUGGCCGAAAAAAACACAAAACACUGAAACUCUCCGGCGGUGGGGCUCUCCGGUGUGGCAGCUCCUCCGGCUCACGUUGCGGUUGGGUGUUUGGUCAACUUCUAGAGAAGAAAAUGGUGAUCACAAUGUUGGAAAAAUUAUACAGAACGGGAAUCGAAAAGGGCCUCAUCAGAGGCAUUUUGUGAAAUUCCCUACGGCAGUGCCGCUGGGCUUCACCGGUAUUUUUCAACUAAUUGGCUAAUCUUUUUGCUCCGAUUUGGCCAUGUGUGAGCUUAAAAUUGAAUUUCGUGUAAAAGGGGAAGUUUUACCUAUUUUGG